GUCUUGUUGAUUAUAAUUUCAAGUCAAAUCUGCCCAAUGAAAAAUUUAAAUGGCUGCAGUAUAAAUAACUGUACUAAGGUAGCAUAAUAAUUUGUUUUUUAAUUAAAAACUAGAAUAAAAGAUUUAAUGAAAUAUAUACUAUAUCAAUAAAAUUAAAAUUUAAAAUUAAAAUUUAAGUUAAAAUGCUUAAAUUAAAUUAAAAGACAAGAAGACCCUAUAGAAUUUUAUAUUUAAUAAAAUAAUUUAAAUUUAUUAAUAAUUAAAUAAAUUUUUUUAUAUAUUUAAUUGGGGUAAUUUUAAAAUUAAAAUAAUUUUUAAAUAAAAAAACAUUAAUUUAUGAAUUUUUAAUCCUAUAAUUAUCGAUUAAUAAAAUAAAUUACCUUAGGGAUAACAGCGUAAUUUUUUUUAAAAGACCACAUUAAUAAAAAAGUUUAC
rnacentral:rRNA from 1 species